rnacentral:rRNA from 1 species
CAAUAGCGUAUAUUAAAGUUGUUGCAGUUAGAACGCUCGUAGUCGGAUUUCGGGGCGGGCCGACCGGUCUGCCGAUGGGUACGCACUGGUCGGCGCGUCCUUCCUUCCGGAGACCGUGCCUACUCUUAACUGAGCGGGGGCGGGAGACGGAACGUUUACUUUGAAAAAAUCAGAGUGUUUCAAGCAGGCAGUGCGCUCUUGCAUGGAUUAGCAUGGGAUAAUGAAAUAGGACUUUGGUGCUAUUUUGUUGGUUUCGAACACCGAAGUAAUGAUUAAAAGGGACAGUCAGGGGCACUCGUAUUCCGCCGAGAGAGGUGAAAUUCUCAGACCAGCGGAAGACGAACCACUGCGAANGNAUUUGCNAGGGAUGUUUNCACUG